GGGUUGUGAGGUUAAGCGACUAAGCGUACACGGUGGAUGCCCUGGCAGUCAGAGGCGAUGAAGGACGUGCUAAUCUGCGAAAAGCGUCGGUAAGGUGAUAUGAACCGUUAUAACCGGCGAUGUCCGAAUGGGGAAACCCAGUGCAAUUCGUUGCACUAUCGUUAACUGAAUACAUAGGUUAACGAGGCGAACCGGGAGAACUGAAACAUCUAAGUACCCCGAGGAAAAGAAAUCAACCGAGAUUCCCCCAGUAGCGGCGAGCGAACGGGGAGCAGCCCAGAGUCUGAAUCAGCUUGUGUGUUAGUGGAACGGUCUGGAAAGUCCGACGGUACAGGGUGAUAGUCCCGUACACCAAAAUGCACAGGCUGUGAACUCGAAGAGUAGGGCGGGACACGUGGUAUCCUGUCUGAAUAUGGGGGGACCAUCCUCCAAGGCUAAAUACUCCUGACUGACCGAUAGUGAACCAGUACCGUGAGGGAAAGGCGAAAAGAACCCCGGCGAGGGGAGUGAAAAAGAACCUGAAACCGUGUACGUACAAGCAGUGGGAGCACCUUCGGGUGUGACUGCGUACCUUUUGUAUAAUGGGUCAGCGACUUAUAUUCUGUAGCAAGGUUAACCGUAUAGGGGAGCCGCAGGGAAACCGAGUCUUAACUGGGCGUUAAGUUGCAGGGUAUAGACCCGAAACCCGGUGAUCUAGCCAUGGGCAGGUUGAAGGUUGGGUAACACUAACUGGAGGACCGAACCGACUAAUGUUGAAAAAUUAGCGGAUGACUUGUGGCUGGGGGUGAAAGGCCAAUCAAACCGGGAGAUAGCUGGUUCUCCCCGAAAGCUAUUUAGGUAGCGCCUCGUGAACUCAUCUUCGGGGGUAGAGCACUGUUUCGGCUAGGGGGUCAUCCCGACUUACCAACCCGAUGCAAACUACGAAUACCGAAGAAUGUUAUCACGGGAGACACACGGCGGGUGCUAACGUCCGUCGUGAAGAGGGAAACAACCCAGACCGCCAGCUAAGGUCCCAAAGUCAUGGUUAAGUGGGAAACGAUGUGGGAAGGCACAGACAGCCAGGAUGUUGGCUUAGAAGCAGCCAUCAUUUAAAGAAAGCGUAAUAGCUCACUGGUCGAGUCGGCCUGCGCGGAAGAUGUAACGGGGCUAAACCAUGCACCGAAGCUGCGGCAGCGACACUAUGUGUUGUUGGGUAGGGGAGCGUUCUGUAAGCCUGCGAAGGUGUGCUGUGAGGCAUGCUGGAGGUAUCAGAAGUGCGAAUGCUGACAUAAGUAACGAUAAAGCGGGUGAAAAGCCCGCUCGCCGGAAGACCAAGGGUUCCUGUCCAACGUUAAUCGGGGCAGGGUGAGUCGACCCCUAAGGCGAGGCCGAAAGGCGUAGUCGAUGGGAAACAGGUUAAUAUUCCUGUACUUGGUGUUACUGCGAAGGGGGGACGGAGAAGGCUAUGUUAGCCGGGCGACGGUUGUCCCGGUUUAAGCAUGUAGGCUGGUUGUCCAGGCAAAUCCGGAUAAUCAAGGCUGAGGUGUGAUGACGAGGCACUACGGUGCUGAAGUAACAAAUGCCCUGCUUCCAGGAAAAGCCUCUAAGCAUCAGGUAACAUCAAAUCGUACCCCAAACCGACACAGGUGGUCAGGUAGAGAAUACCAAGGCGCUUGAGAGAACUCGGGUGAAGGAACUAGGCAAAAUGGUGCCGUAACUUCGGGAGAAGGCACGCUGGUGUGUAGGUGAAGUCCCUGCGGAUGGAGCUGAGACCAGUCGAAGAUACCAGCUGGCUGCAACUGUUUAUUAAAAACACAGCACUGUGCAAACACGAAAGUGGACGUAUACGGUGUGACGCCUGCCCGGUGCCGGAAGGUUAAUUGAUGGGGUUAUCCGUAAGGAGAAGCUCUUGAUCGAAGCCCCGGUAAACGGCGGCCGUAACUAUAACGGUCCUAAGGUAGCGAAAUUCCUUGUCGGGUAAGUUCCGACCUGCACGAAUGGCGUAAUGAUGGCCAGGCUGUCUCCACCCGAGACUCAGUGAAAUUGAACUCGCUGUGAAGAUGCAGUGUACCCGCGGCAAGACGGAAAGACCCCGUGAACCUUUACUAUAGCUUGACACUGAACAUUGAGCCUUGAUGUGUAGGAUAGGUGGGAGGCUUUGAAGCGUGGACGCCAGUCUGCGUGGAGCCAACCUUGAAAUACCACCCUUUAAUGUUUGAUGUUCUAACGUUGGCCCCUUACCGGGGUUGCGGACAGUGUCUGGUGGGUAGUUUGACUGGGGCGGUCUCCUCCCAAAGCGUAACGGAGGAGCACGAAGGUUAGCUAAUCCUGGUCGGACAUCAGGAGGUUAGUGCAAUGGCAUAAGCUAGCUUGACUGCGAGCGUGACGGCGCGAGCAGGUGCGAAAGCAGGUCAUAGUGAUCCGGUGGUUCUGAAUGGAAGGGCCAUCGCUCAACGGAUAAAAGGUACUCCGGGGAUAACAGGCUGAUACCGCCCAAGAGUUCAUAUCGACGGCGGUGUUUGGCACCUCGAUGUCGGCUCAUCACAUCCUGGGGCUGAAGUAGGUCCCAAGGGUAUGGCUGUUCGCCAUUUAAAGUGGUACGCGAGCUGGGUUUAGAACGUCGUGAGACAGUUCGGUCCCUAUCUGCCGUGGGCGCUGGAGAAUUGAGGGGGGCUGCUCCUAGUACGAGAGGACCGGAGUGGACGCAUCACUGGUGUUCGGGUUGUCAUGCCAAUGGCACUGCCCGGUAGCUAAAUGCGGAAGAGAUAAGUGCUGAAAGCAUCUAAGCACGAAACUUGCCCCGAGAUGAGUUCUCCCUGAGACUUUAAGUCUCCUGAAGGAACGUUAAAGACGAUGACGUUGAUAGGCCGGGUGUGUAAGCGCAGCGAUGCGUUGAGCUAACCGGUACUAAUGAACCGUGAGGCUUAACCUUACAACGCCGAAG
rnacentral:rRNA from 1 species